rnacentral:hammerhead_ribozyme from 1 species
AUCCAGCUGAGGGUUCCCAAACAGGACGAAGUGCGCGUCCUGGAU